CCUACGGGUGGCAGCAGUGAGGAAUAUUGGUCAAUGGACGCAAGCCUGAACCAGCCAUGCCGCGUGCAGGAAGACGGCUCUAUGAGUUGUAAACUGCUUUUGUACGAGGGUAAACGCAGAUACGCGUAUCUGUCUGAAAGUAUCGUACGAAUAAGGAUCGGCUAACUCCGUGCCAGCAGCCGCGGUAAUACGGAGGAUUCAAGCGUUAUCCGGAUUUAUUGGGUUUAAAGGGUGCGUAGGCGGUCGGAUAAGUUAGAGGUGAAAUCCCGAGGCUCAACUUCGGAAUUGCCUCUGAUACUGUUCGGCUAGAGAGUAGUAGAGGUAGGCGGAAUGUAUGGUGUAGCGGUGAAAUGCGUAGAGAUCAUACAGAACACCGAUUGCGAAGGCAGCUUACCAAGCUACUUCUGACGUUGAGGCACGAAAGCGUGGGGAGCAAACAGGAUUCGAUACCCCAGUAGUC
rnacentral:rRNA from 1 species